UUUCCGUAGGUGAACCUGCGGAAGGAUCAUUACCGAGUGAGGGCCCUUUGGGUCCAACCUCCCACCCGUGUUUAUUUACCAUGUUGCUUCGGCGGGCCCGCCUUAACUGGCCGCCGGGGGGCUCACGCCCCCGGGCCCGCGCCCGCCGAAGACACCCUCGAACUCUGUCUGAAGAUUGUAGUCUGAGUGAAAAUAUAAAUUAUUUAAAACUUUCAACAACGGAUCUCUUGGUUCCG
rnacentral:misc_RNA from 1 species